rnacentral:rRNA from 1 species
GACGAACGCUGGCGGCGUGCUUAACACAUGCAAGUCGAACGAAGUGGCGAACGGGUGAGUAACGCGUAAAGAACUUGCCUCACAGCUAGGGCCAACAUUUAGAAAUGAAUGCUAAUACCUGAUAAUAAUGGAGAGAGCUUUGCUCCAUUAGCUAGUUGGAGAGGUAAAGCUCACCAAGGCGAUGAUGGGUAGCCGGCCUGAGAGGGGGAACGGCCACAGGGGGACUGGGACACGGCCCUUAAGCCUACGGGAGGCAGCAGUGGGGAAUAUUGGACAAUGGACCGAGAUCUGAUCCAGCAAUUCUGUGUGCACGAUGAAGUUUUUCGGAAUGUAAAGUGCUUUAAGUUGGGAAGCGGUACCAACAGAAGAAGCGCCGGCUAACUACGUGCCAGCAGCCGCGGUAAUUC